UACGAAGGGGGCUAGCGUUGCUCGGAAUCACUGGGCGUAAAGCGCACGUAGGCGGCUUUCUAAGUCAGGGGUGAAAUCCUGGAGCUCAACUCCAGAACUGCCUUUGAUACUGGAGAGCUUGAGUCCGGAAGAGGUGAGUGGAACUCCGAGUGUAGAGGUGAAAUUCGUAGAUAUUCGGAAGAACACCAGUGGCGAAGGCGGCUCACUGGUCCGAUACUGACGCUGAGGUGCGAAAGCGUGGGGAGCAAACAGGG
rnacentral:rRNA from 1 species